UUUAAAAGCACUUUGGAAAGAGGGUGAAAAGAACCUGAAACCGUUACGGGGGAAGCGAAUUGCGUCGAAUUGAUUUUAUGGGGGGGUGCACUGUUCAGCGCGUUUUGCGUGUAUUCAGGGCAUUUUUCCUUACCCGUCGUGGGUUCUUGGAUGGUCGAAUUUGGGCCGUCUAGGACUGAGGGAUCCUCUUUGUUUAUAAGGGUGAGGACGAUGGGGCGCUGACGCGAUACGACCCGUCUUGAAACACGGACCAAGGAGUCCAGCAUAUGUGCGAGUCAAAGGGUGGUGAAACCUGAGGGCGCAGUGAAAGCGAUUAAACACGGAAUCGUGCAGAACUAAAACAUAUAAUUUUCAGUUUUAAGGCGGCAUACAAUGGGUGAUUGUAGGACCGACCUCGAGCAGAUAUGCUGGGACCCGAAAGAUGGUGAACUAUGCCGGAGUAGGGCGAAGCCAGAGGAAACUCUGGUGGAGGCUCGUAGCGGUGCUGACGUGCAAAUCGCUCGUCUGACUCGGGUAUAGGGGCGAAAGACUAAUCGAACCAUCUAGUAGCUGGUUUCCUCCGAAGUUUCUCUCAGGAUAGCAGGUCGACGAGGAGUUGUUGUGUGC
rnacentral:rRNA from 2 species